rnacentral:rRNA from 1 species
GAACGGGUGAGUAACACGUGAGCAACCUGCCCUGGACUCUGGGAUAAGCGCUGGAAACGGUGUCUAAUACUGGAUAUGAGCUCCUGCCGCAUGGUGGGGGUUGGAAAGAUUUUUCGGUCUGGGAUGGGCUCGCGGCCUAUCAGCUUGUUGGUGAGGUAAUGGCUCACCAAGGCGUCGACGGGUAGCCGGCCUGAGAGGGUGACCGGCCACACUGGGACUGAGACACGGCCCAGACUCCUACGGGAGGCAGCAGUGGGGAAUAUUGCACAAUGGGCGGAAGCCUGAUGCAGCAACGCCGCGUGAGGGACGACGGCCUUCGGGUUGUAAACCUCUUUUAGCAAGGAAGAAGCGAAAGUGACGGUACUUGCAGAAAAAGCGCCGGCUAACUACGUGCCAGCAGCCGCGGUAAUACGUAGGGCGCAAGCGUUAUCCGGAAUUAUUGGGCGUAAAGAGCUCGUAGGCGGUUUGUCGCGUCUGCUGUGAAAUCCCGAGGCUCAACCUCGGGCCUGCAGUGGGUACGGGCAGACUAAAGUGCGGUAGGGGAGAUUGGAAUUCCUGGUGUAGCGGUGGAAUGCGCAGAUAUCAGGAGGAACACCGAUGGCGAAGGCAGAUCUCUGGGCCGUAACUGACGCUGAGGAACGAAAGGUGGGGAGCAACAGGCUUAAUACCCUGGUAG